AAAUUGAAGAGUUUGAUCAUGGCUCAGAUUGAACGCUGGCGGCAGGCCUAACACAUGCAAGUCGAACGGUAACAGGAAGCAGCUUG
rnacentral:rRNA from 17 species